rnacentral:rRNA from 1 species
CAAUAGCGUAUAUUUAAGUUGUUGCAGUUAAAAAGCUCGUAGUUGGAUUUCGGAUGGGAUUUGCCGGUCCGUCGUUACGAUGUGCACUGGCCAGUCCUAUCUUGUUGUCGGGGACUAGCUCCUUGGAUUCACUUCCUGGGACUAGGAGCUGACGAGGUUACUUUGAGUAAAUUAGAGUGUUCAAAGCAAGCCUACGCUCUGAAUACAUUAGCAUGGAAUAACACGAUAGGACUCUGGCUUAUCUUGUUGGUCUGUGAGACCAGAGUAAUGAUUAAGAGGGACAGUCGGGGACAUUCGUAUUUCAUUGUCAGAGGUGAAAUUCUUGGAUUUAUGAAAGACGAACUUCUGCGAAAGCAUUGGUCAAGGAUGUUUUCAUUAA